GAUGAAGAACGCAGCGAAAUGCGAUACUUGGUGUGAAUUGCAGAAUCCCGUGAACCAUCGAGUCUUUGAACGCAAGUUGCGCCUCAAGCCAUUAGGUUGAGGGCACGUCUGCCUGGGCGUCACAUAUCGUUGCCUGAUGCCAGUUUCCUCGUGAUGGGUGACUGUGCAGGGCGAAUGAUGGCUUCCCGUGAGCAUUGUUGCCUCAUGGUUGGUUGAAAAUUGAGUCCUUGGUAGGGAGCGCCGUGAUAGAUGGUGGUUGAGUGACGAACGAGACCCAAUCAUGUGAGACCCGUACCGAAUUUGGCCUUCAUGACCCACAUGCGUCUUUGGAACGCUCAUGACGAGACCUCAGGUCAGGCGGGGCUACCCGCUGAGUUUAAGCAUAUCAAUAAGCGGAGGA
rnacentral:misc_RNA from 1 species